rfam:Oryza sativa Japonica Group DNA, chromosome 2, cultivar: Nipponbare, complete sequence.
AAAAAAAAAAAACAUAGGUUUCUGUGCCAACUAUCCGUCUUAUAUAAAAUUUUUUUAUAAUUAGUAUUUUCAUUGUUGUUAGAUGAUAAAAUAUGAUUAAUACUUUAUACGUGACUUAUCUUUUUUAAUUUUUUUCAUAGUUUUUUCAAAUAAGACGGACGGUAAACGUUGGACACGGAUUUCCACUGCUGCACUUAUU